rnacentral:lncRNA from 1 species
ACAAAGCUAUAUCCUAUAUUUCCACUAUUUGUUGGAUAAUAUCACACCGGGUGGUUGUUUUUCUUUAACAGUCAACUCUGACACACGAUUGUUAAUGGCAGAUACCCCCCAUUAUAUUUCUCAAUCCAUCAGAUAAACCCAUAACCAUAUUUAAAAAUCAAAUUCAAGAGAUCGAUCUAUUAUCAUUUACAACUAAACCAAAAAAGGAAGCAGCUUUAAUGGAGUCCAAGUCUUUACGGUUCCUCACUCAGCAGUCUUUCUUUGCAGCUGUUCAAUCUGGGGAGCUUCAGUCUGUGAAGCAGAUGUUGGAUAAGCUGACAAAAGAUGAACCGUCUGAUGGAUCAUCGACGGUGUCUGAUCUGGUGGCAUCACAAAAUAAGUCAGGGAAGACUGCUUUAUAUAUUGCUGCAGAAAACAAUUUGCAGGAGAUUUUCAGUUACUUGCUCAAGUUUUGUGAUGUUGAGGUUGUAAAGAUGAGGUCCAACUCUGAUAUCAACACUUUUCAUGUUGUUGCUAAGUUAGGAAACUUGGGUUAGGAAACUUGGGUAUGGUUCUGAUUUCUCAAUCAUGAUUUGGUUUUGCAAUCUGGGUUUUAUAUUUUAGCUUGAUUUUAAUUGGGAGAGGGUCCAUUUUCAUGAAAACAUGCAUCUGGUGGAAGGUUUAAGAGAAAUAGGGAAAUCUUGAUUUUAAUUGCUUUUUGUCGCGGUGUGUGUCUGAAAUGUGAUUGACCAAAUAUAGUGUUUUGUGUAUUGUAGGUAUGGUGAAGGAACUUUUGGGAAUUUGGCCGGAGCUUUGUGAGCUAUGUGACUCGACGAAUACCAGCCCCCUUUAUUUUGCAGCUGUUAAAAGUAAUUUAGAUGUCGUAAAUGCAAUAUUGAGUACCGAUCCAAGCUGCGUUAGGAUAGUGCGUAAAAAUGGAAAGACGGCAUUGCAUACGGCUGCAAGGUAUGGCCUUAUUAGUGUAGUAAAAGCUCUUACAGAUUGUGAUCAAGGCAUUGUGAGAAUCAAAGAUAAGAAAGGCCAAGCCGCGCUCCAUAUGGCGGUGAAGGGUCAGUGCCCGGCUGUCGUUGAUGAAAUAUUGCUUGCCAAUCACUCACUACUGAAUGAACGAGACAAAAACGGG